UUCGUAAAAAAAUCUCCUGAGCUUUGCGAUUGCUUAACUCUGUAUACGAAAGUUGUUUGAGCAAGCGUUAAUUAUAAAAUACUCCAUAUUUUACAAUUUUUCUUUGAUAAAGGCAAUAACGCAACCCAGAAGUUAGAAAAUGUGAUUGGGUUUAUAGUUUUGAUACUGUAAAUGCAAAUCACGCGCAUUUUUAAUGUCGUCGAUUCUGUUCCGGUAGUUUUGAUAUCAAAAUGCGCCACGCUGCUGAAGACCGAUUGUUUAAAAUAUCGAUAAAAGAAUGGAAUAAUUCGUCUUGUAAGCACUGCUUCGAUUGUUCCGGAACUAAACAUUGCAGAAAAAACAGUUUCGAAUUAUUUAAAUAACGCUGGAUACAAAAAGGAAUUUGAUGUAUGGGUGUCGUUAAAGCAAGAAAAACUUCAUGGAUUGAAUUUCCAUCUGCAAACCUUUGCUGAAUCGCAAUAAAAUCGAUCCAUUUCUAAAGCGGAUUUUUAUUGGUGUUGAUAAAUGGGCCUGCUACGAUAACGUCAAGCGUAAAAAGUCGAAUUGCGUUGAGCCACCGCGGGCGCAAGCAGUGGUUUAGUCAGAAUUGACGGCCAAGAAUGAUUUGCUGAUUUGCUGUAUUUGGAGAGAUUGGCAGGGAAUAAUCAUUCGGACCUGUACAGUCAGCAAUUAGAUCGUACGAAGGAAGCAAUUGCUCAGAAACAGCUAAAUUUGGGCAAUAUGGUAGAAAUUGUGCUCUAUCAAUCCAAGUGAUUACCAUUUGUUCCUGUCUGUGGCUGGCGAAAAAUUAAGUUCAUUUCUUAACAAGUGUAAAAUGCGUGGUGCAUAAAAGAUAUUUAAAAAUUUGCAAGCAUAUGGCAUACGCAAAAAUCGGUUGGGAGUUUCAUGGUAAGCCAUUUUUGCUAAAAUUAGUGUAUAAUUUUUUAAUUUAAUUAUA